UAGGGAGACCUACCCAACUUGCAUAUCGAAAGCAUAGUGCAAUAGAUAUCAAGAUGGUCAUCCUAGGUCGGUAGCAGAGACUUGUGAAAGCUUUCAAACUAUGAUUGGGUUCUUAAUGGGCUAUUAGCUCAGGUGGUUAGAGCGCACCCCCGAUAAGGUGAGGUCCCCUGGUCCGAGUCCCGGGUGGGCCCCCUGAAGGGGGGUUAGGGUUUGAAGGUUAGGGGUAAGGGUUAAAAAAAUGAUAAAUUCUUCAUUAAAAAUUAUAAAUUUUUGUUUGGGGGUUUAGCUCAGUUGGUAGAGCGCCUGCUUUGCAAGCAGGAUGUCAGCGGUUCGAGUCCGCUAACCUCCACAUUUGGAAAUCAGGAAUAAAAAUAAGUGAGAAGAAGUCCAGCAACAUGGUAUGAAGCCAGACUGCUGGGUGAGAACUCAGCCAGAACCUUGAAAACUGCAUAGGAAUGGGAAGCAGGCAGACACAGACA
rnacentral:tRNA from 1 species